UACAGAGGUCUCAAGCGUUGUUCGGAUUCAUUGGGCGUAAAGGGUGUGUAGGUGGCGCCGUAAGUCGGGUGUGAAAUUUCGGAGCUUAACUCCGAAACUGCAUUCGAGUACUGCGGUGCGUUGAGGACUGGAGAGGAGACUGGGAAUUCAUGGUGUAGCAGUGAAAUGCGUAGAGAUCAUGAGGAAGACCAGUGGCGAAGGCGGGUCUCUGGACAAGUUCCUGGACACUGAGGCACGAAGGCCAGGGGAGCAAACGGG
rnacentral:rRNA from 1 species